CAAGGAGUACAGCAGGCAAGCAUUCCCUUUGAAUGAAAUGUCUACUGCCUGAGCAAUCUGAGUGCAAACCGGAGCCUAAGUCCUUCUCCUUUGCUCCCUCAUACUGAAGGAGGUGCUGCUGGGAGCUGGUGCUGCACAAGCAAGUUCUGAGCAUGUUUGCUGUUCUUCCUGUGAGUUGCAGCCCGUGUGGCCCAUAGCGAGUUAAACCUCUGAAUCUCUACUGUGCUGCACCACUCCAUGUCUGCCUGUCCUUCAGGUCAAAGGCUUUUGUCCUGCUGUGGGAGGAGGCUAAACACUGCGGGCUGUCUUCAGUUGCAGGUGCGAUUCUUCGCUAAACAACAGAUACAGCGUGGCAAGUGUUGAUAGAUAUUAACAUCAGUGCAGGUGUAGAACUUACACCAUAUGCAGAACCAGCACUUUCUUGCAGUCCCUGGGCUGAUGGGGAAACCCCUCUGUCUCAAAGCAAGCCACAUGUGAGGGUUUUGAACCAGCAUGCUCAAUAGAGACCUGUGAUAUCCACAUCUAAAUCUGCUCUGGUUACGCUCAGUACUCAAUUAGCAUGCUUCCACUUGGGUGUUUAUGAUUUUUGGUGCAUCGGUUGUUCCUUCUAUACUGCUGAAUCAGUAAGGCUGCCUGGCUGUUGCCACAGUGGAAGGUGUAUUUAAUUCAGUGACUGUGCUGUGACAUACAAAGAGGUGUUGUUUCUGAGAGCUCUUCUAGUCAUGGAUUCUGAAGAACUACAACCAGAAAGCUGUUAGUUUCAAACGCUUUGCAGUAAGUGUUUCAUUUACUACCAAAUGAAUGUCUGUUAAAAAAGGAUAUAUAUGUUUUCUUCCAAAAAACCUCACUUGUGGAUGGUAGCACAGACCACCUUCACAGCUCCCCUGGACAAAGCUAGGCAGCUGAGUAUUAAAGACCAGGGAUCCCAAAUAAUAACUAUUUGCACCCAAAGAUUUUACUGCUAUGUAUUUCCUGAUACCACAGUUAUUUCCUUUGGUCUUCUGCAUUCAUCCUCGUUAAAUGUGGUGUUCGUGCCAGAACACACAGAAAGCUCUUUAAUUAUAGUAUCUACAAAUCAUCUUUUCUCUCCACAGUAUCCCUAGCUUGCUCUUACAGAUUUCCGUAACCACCAGGAAUGCUGGAUGCCAGGGAGGAUGCAGAACCCAAGGAAAUCAAAAGGAGCCAUGAGUGUACUCUACAGGGCAAUGGCAGUAUUUGCCAGCUAUGGCUGCAAUACGUAUACACGGAAAGGAGAAAGUACAUGAAGUUCUACUUAAGGUUUUCCUAUGAGCUUCUACGGUUUUCUCUGGGAGCAUCACGAAGAGUUAGGCAACUCCAGAUUGAAAGACCCUGGCCUCAAGGGCUGAAGAAUAGAGCUACAUUGUAACAUCCUGAUACUUGCUGACAAUUUUCUCCCUUAAUAAAACGUUGCCGCUGUCCUCUCCAUUUAUAGCAUCAAAGAGAACCCUUCUAACCUCCUAAAUCCUGUUUUAGUGUCGUAGGCUACAGAUUAUUAGCCAAAGCACAACUGCAUUUGAUGUAGUUAUAUCAGGAAGAAACAUAAGUAACAUUUAUAAUGCAGAAAUACUUAAAAAAAUUUAUUAAAAUUUAU
rnacentral:lncRNA from 7 species